GAUGAACGCUGGCGGCGUGCCUAAUACAUGCAAGUCGAGCGAACGGACGAGAAGCUUGCUUCUCUGAUGUUAGCGGCGGACGGGUGAGUAACACGUGGAUAACCUACCUAUAAGACUGGGAUAACUUCGGGAAACCGGAGCUAAUACCGGAUAAUAUUUUGAACCGCAUGGUUCAAAAGUGAAAGACGGUCUUGCUGUCACUUAUAGAUGGAUCCGCGCUGCAUUAGCUAGUUGGUAAGGUAACGGCUUACCAAGGCAACGAUGCAUAGCCGACCUGAGAGGGUGAUAGGCCACACGGGAACUGGGACACGGUCCAGACUCCUACGGGAGGCAGCAGUAGGGAAUCUUCCGCAAUGGGCGAAAGCCUGACGGAGCAACGCCGCGUGAGUGAUGAAGGUCUUCGGAUCGUAAAACUCUGUUAUUAGGGAAGAACAUAUGUGUAAGUAACUGUGCACAUCUUGACGGUACCUAAUCAGAAAGCCACGGCUAACUACGUG
rnacentral:rRNA from 1 species